UCAGCGUUAAGGCAGACGAAGUCUUCGACCAGAUGUUGCUGUGUUUGCCAUUCACCCGCAUUAAAAGCCGCAUCUACCAGCAUGUCAUGCCGCUUGAGAAAAAAAGUAUUUUUAUUGUCUCGGCAGCACAGCGCAAUCUGUUUAUUUCUGUAACUAUAGUAACGUAAUACCGGCGCACGUCUUGAAUCAGGAAGUGGAUCGCCGUGCGGUAGUCAGUUGCAGCAGUGUGCAAGCUCUACCGGUCAUCCGUUCUCAGGCGAUCGCUUUUUCCUCUUCUCUUUUGCUAAAGCAACGUCUGGCAACCAAAGCACAUGGAUGGGUGAGCUGAAGGAGUCGGGCUCACACAGGAGAGGAGAGAGAGAGACUCUACUUCUCUGCUGUAGCUGGCAGCCUGUUUUUUUUUUUGCCAGACGAACCAAGAGGCCAACACGGCAUAGGCUUGAGAAGUGACAGCAAGUCUUUUCUGUUUCACUACUCCAUCUCCAAUUCUUCAGUUCAAUUCAGCAGAAAAGGCAGCCACUGGCUGACAUGAAGAUAAAGCAAAUGCCAAAAGAUUUGGGAGAAUAGGGUGUCCAAACCAGUUAUAGUUUGGGGUUGAAGAGGCAGUGACCAGGGGAGCUGACCCAUAGCUUGGCGCUGGCCCUAAGGUUACACCUCUGUUAACAGAUGUUCCUAUACUCAAAUUUGGACAUGUCUUGCUAUGCUAUUAAAUAACACCAAACAUGACCUGUCUAUAACAGUCGAACAAGAAGUUAUCCUGACAUUAAUUAUUAUUUCUAAAAUAUAUUUCAGAGAGUAGUAAAAUGAACAUUCAAAAAACAUUCCAACACAUGAAAUUAUGAUUCAUUAUUAAUUCAAUCAAUCAUGGAACUUUCUGAUUGGUAAGAUUUAGGGACAUGGAUUGUGUGUCAUACAACUGUUGCUAAGUGAAACACCUGUCUGCCGAAGCUUUCCCCUACAUUCUGAUACCAGGGCAACUCCCAGUAUGGAGAUGCUCUCAUCUUCUUUCUUUCAAUAACAGCCCUUAUAUCCUUCUAGCCUUCUAGCAUCUGCUGGAUAGGAUGACCUUUUCCUUCCCUUAUGUUCGUGUGCUUGAAUAUACUUUCCUUCCUAUACCUUGAAUAGGUUUCUGAAGAGCCGUUGUGAAGCUCAAUGUGGGCGGCUCCCGGCGGCUCUGGCCGUCACCAUCUUGGCAGGGCUUGACUCUGGCUAAUCCAAAAAUGGGCAAAGAAGUGGAGCUGAGGCGGGCCGAAUGAAGCUGGGUUGCUGAACCACCUAGCGGCUAGCCACCUGAGAGGGCACCCACCUCUCACUCAAAGCGACCACGUCCUUAAUUAUGCAUAACUUUAAGCCUUAAGCUUUAAUUUAUUAUUAUUUAUUAUUUAUAUUUUAACGGGUAAGUUCUAAUGAUGUUCUCAGCGGUUUUAAUCACCUGCUGCAGAGCCCUCCUGUCCUGGGCCGUGCACGUCCCAUGCCAAUUUGAGAUGUUUCCAGUCAGGAUGUUUUCUAUUGCUCCUCUGUAAAAUGGCACAGGGAUUUUGCCUUCUAACGUUUCCUUAAAAAAUACAGCUGUUUCCAAACUUUCUUUACCAGGGUGGAGAUGUGUGAUGACCAUGACAGGUUAUCUGUGAUGCUGAUUCCCAGGAACCUAAACCUGCUCCACCUGAGCUCCACUGAUGUAGAUAGGGGUGUGUGUCUAUUUCCAAUUUAACCUCCAAACUUGAUAGUAAAUUCAACUCUUAAGGCUCUUGUAUUAAAACUAUCUCCAUCAACUAUGAAUUGCUUUGUCCAAGGCAACAGACUCCACCUUGUUACCACAAGACCAGUACCACAAGUCUCUCCUGUCACAUUUGUAGUGUCAGAUGACUGUCCCCCACAGGGUAGUGAAACAAACAUGUGUGGGACAAUAGAUGGGGCGGCAGACAUGACCACGCAGUGCCGCUGCUAGCCAUUUUGUUGCCCUAAGCUUAAUUCCUUUAUUAUUCGCCCGCGCGAACAACCGGAACGGACCCUCCGGCACAGGGGGGGGGACUAGACUAGAGCAAUUAUUAAAUAUCUUUCUUGUUCCCCCUUUUUUGUUACAUAUACAUGGCUAAAAUGUGCCUAAUAUUUCUAUAGGCUAAUGAAAUAAUACCGGCAUUUAAAAAAAAAAUUUCAUUGGGCUAUUUUUGGUGCCCUACGCACAGUGCGUGAUGCGCGUGGUGGGAGCGGCGGCGCUGUGACCACGUGGGUGGUCAUCACACACAGAGCCAAAAUGGUGGGCAAUUAUAGAUUUACGUUAUCAUAAACAUUUAGCAGUGUUAUUUGUUCUAGCACUUGUAGUGAGCCAUAACUAUUCCAUAAGCACCUUUCAAUUUGAAAAGACAUAAGUCAACUCAAAUCUUAAAUCAAAGUCCUUCUCACUAUCACAUUCCCCACCCCUGGAGCGCAGAGGAGCCGACAGGUGUGUGUUUCAUACUUAUGAUCAACAAUAUAUAAUGUUUACCUUUCUGCCUAAAACCACUUUGGGAAUAGUAUAAUUCUGUUAAACAAAAGAAAAUGCAGCUAGUUUGUGACCCCGCUGCUGUGGUCAUCAAACAAUAUGUGCUUUCUAACCUCCACAAGCACCUCGAUUUCUGUCAGAAAAAAUAAUUUUUGUCCGAAAAAAUAAUUUUUUUCGUCUUCCUCUCGGUUUUUGUUGCCACUGUAAGCAGGCUCAUUUAUAUGCAUAUUCAUGUGGUGUUUUGCAUUGACCAUUUUGGUUGAAUGUGGGCGUGUAGAGGGCUGGAUAUGAGGCUGAUCCACGUGUGCACAUUUCCUGGUGGACUGUGAUUUAUAAAGGGAAAGUUGCCUGCAGGUGUGCUUACACCGUUUCUAAGAAAAAAAGAAAGAUUUUUUUUAAACUGUGUGUAAGCACACCUGCAGGCAGAUUUUUUUUUUUUGGGCGCACACCAUUUUCGCCUUUUGUGCGCAUGUAGACUUUUAGUAUGGAUCCUAUGCACUGUUUAUAAAUGAGGCCCCAGGCUAUUAAGGCCCUAACAUAUGAUUCAUAUUUUCAUACUCAUCAAACCAGUCAGUGAGCCUUUGUUGAAACAUUGUCAUCCUGGAAGUGACAACUUCCAUCAGGUUAAAACGGUUACAUUGACAUCAGUUUUUCUUGUACCUACUAUAAACCAAAAAGUUUCAUACAGAGGUAAAAAAAAAAGACAAAUGCUGAUCCUGAGAUAUUUAAGAAGGCAGACUGAGCUCAAGCUCGAUACAAAUCAGACAUGUGUAUAACCAGAUCUGCAACAUGUCAUGAUGAAAGAUGACAACCACCAUGAUUUCUCUUCAGCAGCUUGAAUCUGUAGUUGGUCAAUCAGUGUGCUCUUUCUAGUUGACUGAGAAAUUGUCAGCAUUAGUCUUCUUGUUGCUCUCUAACAACUUUGUACUGUGGUGGCUCUGUAGUGCUUCAGUCGUUCUGAGUCAUGAAGAGGAUGUCAAACACCACAGGGAACAGACCCAGACCACGAUCUGCCUAUGACAUUUAAUGAAGUUCCUCGAUUUUUUUCCCCCUCUCAUCUGUUUAUCGCUGUGUUGUGUUGUGGGACAGGCUCCAGCUGUUCACACCACUCAGUCCCAGGGGUUCUGGUCUACAUAGCUCAGCCCUCAAGGAAAACAUCUCCACUCCACUCAUCUUUGUCUUUGUCCUUUCUCCCUUCACGUACUGCUCCCUUGGUUUACCCACAUCCUCCUCUCCUUUCCUUUCCUCUCCUCUUCUCCUCUUGCAUCAUCUACUGUUUCUCUACAUAGGAGGGAGCUAGUUUGUAAAUUGUAGAUUCUUUGUUGACUCAUGCUGUGGUUCUGCUGUUUGUGGAGAAAGUGGCCACCUCACUCUCUGGUUACUUGUUUUUUUUUUUUUUUUUUGCAGGGUUCUGUAUGUGAAGCUGGCCCUUGAAGUUACAGUUAUGGUUUGAACUGUUUUAGUGCAAUGGUACAUAAUGCCAAUGGGAGCGGCUGAUACCAUAGAAUUGGUAAUUCUUAAAUUUUGGGUUCUAAACACCAAUAAUGACAGGAUCAGUUGGUUUAGAAUAAAGUUAAGAAGGUAGACAUAAUUUAACAAGCCACUGUCACACUGAGUGCUUUAUUUAUGACAGAAUGUCCAACAGGUGUGUGCCAAUUCAGAGGAUGGCUUCUUCCAAGGACAUGGCCUACGACAGUGUAGCCUUCAGCGGGCUGAGGGGCAGUAGGCUGAACCUGCAUCAUAGUCUCGAGAAGAUUAUUUAUGAUUUUACACCCCAAGCAAUAAGUACAGUACACAAUGUGUGUUAUAACAUCCACAUGACCAGGUGAUAUGUACAGAUAUUUGUAUAUAUUUACAUAUUGAGAAAGUGACCUGCAUGCAACAGAUUUUUUGGGGUUCUAAAGGCUUUACAAAUUGCUUUUACCCUCAAAAUUUCAUUUCCCGACUGCAUUUGGAAGGAGCCUUUGAAAUGGGACAGGCCUUGAUUACACAUUAUGAUGUAUUCGAUCUUGAAAUGUGGAAACAUGGAGAAGCCACAACUUAAAGUUACUCAGUGCAAUACACCAGCGCAUCUGUACUGUAUUAAACAUGUCGCCAAAUCUAAGUAAACCAGUAA